GACGAACGCUGGCGGCGUGCUUAACACAUGCAAGUCGAACGGUAAGGCCCUUCGGGGUACACGAGUGGCGAACGGGUGAGCAACACGUGGGUGAUCUACCCUGCACUUCGGGAUAAGCCUGGGAAACUGGGUCUAAUACCGGAUAGGACCACUGCCUGCAUGGGUGGUGGUGGAAAGCUUUUGCGGUGUGGGAUGGGCCCGCGGCCUAUCAGCUUGUUGGUGGGGUGAUGGCCUACCAAGGCGACGACGGGUAGCCGGCCUGAGAGGGUGACCGGCCACACUGGGACUGAGAUACGGCCCAGACUCCUGCGGGAGGCAGCAGUGGGGAAUAUUGCACAAUGGGCGCAAGCCUGAUGCAGCGACGCCGCGUGAGGGAUGACGGCCUUCGGGUUGUAAACCUCUUUCAGCACCGACGAAGCGCAAGUGACGGUAGGUGCAGAAGAAGGACCGGCCAACUACGUGCCAGCAGCCGCCGUAA
rnacentral:rRNA from 1 species